rnacentral:tRNA from 1 species
GAGGGUAUAGCUCAGUGGCAGAACAUGUGCUUAGCAUGCGUGAGAACCUGGGUUCAAUCCCCAGCACCUCCA